rnacentral:lncRNA from 1 species
UUCCAUAUAACCUUCUAAGACGCCACUGUAGGAAUUACUUGUUCUUCUAAAUUCACCAAGACUAAAAAUUAAAGCUGCUCCGACUUCUAAAUUUUGCUUGUUCAUUUUGUAUCUUCAUCUCACUGCUCCGACUGCUCUAAAAUAUCUUACACCAUUAACAAUUUUAUCGAAGUUGUUCAUUCUGCGUCUUCAUCUCACCGCUCCGACGUCUUCACAAGCUGCUCAAACAUCUUAAUUCCCUUUCCAACUCGGAACACUUCAAGAAGCCGGUUUUAAUUUUUUGAAGCAGCUCCGACAACCACUUCAAUUUAUGAGAAAAUUUGAGGUUUUCUUCUUUAAUUUGAUGAUUUUAAGGUUAGUUAAUUCUUUUAAUUGAUGAUUUUAAUCUAAUUUUUUGAGUUUUUAGUUUGGGGUUUCUUCUCCUUCACUUUGAUUGCUGACCUAACAUUUUGGGAUGGGUUUAAUUUGGGUGUUUUUUCAGUUUCUACCUUUUCUAGGUCGAUAACCCAUUUCCUUGUGCUAAAUAUAAAUUUGAGUGUUAUUUUGGGUGUUUUCAGUUGCUACCUUGUUUCACUUCUAUUGUUGUAGCUUUCAGGUGCUAGAUAUUACAUGAUACAAU